UUUUCCGCAAUGGGCGAAAGCCUGACGGAGCAACGCCGCGUGAGGGAUGAAGGCCUCUGGGCUGUAAACCUCUUUUAUCAAGGAAGAAGAUCUGACGGUACUUGAUGAAUAAGCCACGGCUAAUUCCGUGCCAGCAGCCGCGGUAAUACGGGAGUGGCAAGCGUUAUCCGGAAUUAUUGGGCGUAAAGCGUCCGCAGGCGGCCCUUCAAGUCUGCUGUUAAAAAGUGGAGCUUAACUCCAUCAUGGCAGUGGAAACUGUUGGGCUUGAGUGUGGUAGGGGCAGAGGGAAUUCCCGGUGUAGCGGUGAAAUGCGUAGAUAUCGGGAAGAACACCAGUGGCGAAGGCGCUCUGCUGGGCCAUCACUGACGCUCAUGGACGAAAGCCAGGGGAGCGAAAGGGAUUAGAUACCCCUGUAGUCCUGGCCGUAAACGAUGAACACUAGGUGUCGGGGGAAUCGACCCCCUCGGUGUCGUAGCCAACGCGUUAAGUGUUCCGCCUGGGGAGUACGCACGCAAGUGUG
rnacentral:rRNA from 1 species